rnacentral:rRNA from 1 species
AACGAACGCUGGCGGCGUGCCUAACACAUGCAAGUCGAACGGGAAAACCCGCAAGGGUGAGUACAGUGGCGCACGGGUGCGUAACACGUGGGUAAUCUGCCCAGAAGCCCGGAAUAACUCCCCGAAAGGGGUGCUAAUGCCGGAUGAGACCACGGGGACUUCGGUUCCUGGGGGAAAAGGUGGCCUCUGUAUACAAGCUAUCACUUCUGGAUGAGCCCGCGGCCCAUCAGCUAGUUGGCGGGGUAAUGGCCCACCAAGGCUACGACGGGUAGCUGGUCGGAGAGGACGGUCAGACACACUGGAACUGGAACACGGUCCAGAAUCCUACGGGAGGCAGCAGUGGGGAAUCUUGCGCAAUGGGCGAAAGCCUGACGCAGCAACGCCGCGUGUGUGAUGAAGGUCUUCGGAUCGUAAAGCACUGUCGGGAGGGACGAAUAAGGGCCGGGUGAACAAUCCGGUUCGACGACGGUACCUCCAGAGGAAGCACCGGCUAACUCUGUGCCAGCCGCCGCAGUAAGAC